rnacentral:rRNA from 1 species
GACUAGUAUGAAUGGCUUCAUGAGGAUCAACUUGUCUCUCAUAAUAAGCCUAUGAAACUGAUCUUCCAGUACAAAAGCUGGAAUAUACCCACAAGACGAGAAGACCCUGUGGAGCUUCAAACUUUAGGUCACACAAAAUGACCUUACAGUUUUUAGUUGGGGCGACUUUGGAGCAAAACAAAACCUCCAAACAUAAAACUUCAGGCUAACACGCCAAAACCCUACAACCACUUUGACCCAAUAAAAUUGACCAAUGAACCAAGUUACCCCAGGGAUAACAGCGCAAUCUUCUUCUAGAGUCCCUAUCGACAAGAAGGUUUACGACCUCGAUGUUGGAUCCGGAUACCCAAAUAGUGCAGCCGCUAUUAAAGGUUCGUUUGUUCAACGAUUAAUAAUCCUACGUGAUCUGA